rnacentral:rRNA from 1 species
AUUGACCGCUGGCGGCAGGCCUAACACAUGCAAGUCGAACGAGUGGCGGACGGGUGUGUAAUGUCUGGGAAACUGCCUGAUGGAGGGGGAUAACUAAUGGAAACGGUAGCUAAUACCGCAUACCAUCGGAUGUGCCCAGAUGGGAUUGGCUAAUAGGGGUGGUAAAGGCUCACCUAGGCGACGAUCCCUAGCUGGUCUGAGAGGAUGACCAGCGACACUGGAACUGUGACACGGUCCAGACUCCUACGGGAGGCAGCAGGGGGGAAUAUUGCACACUGGGCGCAAGCCUGAUGCACCCAGGCCGCGUGUAUGAAGAAGGCCUUCGGGUUGUAAAGUACUUGCAGCGGGGAGGCGUUACCCGCAGAAGAAGCACCGGCUAACUCCGUGCCAGCAGCCGCGGUAAUAC